rnacentral:rRNA from 1 species
UACGGAGGGUGCAAGCGUUAAUCGGAAUUACUGGGCGUAAAGCGCACGCAGGUGGCCGAGAAAGUCGAUUGUGAAAGCCCUGGGCUUAACCUGGGAAUUGCAGUCGAAACUACUCGGCUAGAGUAUGGGAGAGGACAGUGGAAUUCCCGGUGUAGCGGUGAAAUGCGUAGAUAUGCGGAGGAACACCGAUGGCGAAGGCAAUCCCCUGGGCCUGCACUGACGCUCAUGCACGAAAGCGUGGGGAGCAAACAGG